rnacentral:snRNA from 1 species
AUCUUUGUGCAGUGGCAGUAUCGUAGCCAGUGAGGUUUAUCAGAGGUGCGAUUAUUGCUUAAUGGAAAAAAAAAAAAAGGUUAGCGACUGAAAAAAAAAAAAAGAUUUCUAGGGUUUGGAGUCCAAAGUUCCAAUCCCAGCUCUGCAACCUUCUGUUACCUUGACCAAG